GCAAGUCGAAAGGUAACAGAAAAAGCUUGCUUUUUGCUGACGAGUGGCGAACGGGUGCGUAACGCGUAUGCAACCUACCUUCUUCUAAGGAAUAGCCCAGAGAAAUUUGGAUUAAUACCUUAUGAUAAUAUUUAUUCGCAUGUUUAAAUAUUUAAAACUCCGGUGGAAGAAGAUGGGCAUGCGUAACAUUAGUUUGUUGGUGAGGUAAUGGCUCACCAAGACUACGAUGUUUAGGGGGUCUGAGAGGAUGAUCCCCCACACUGGUACUGAGACACGGACCAGACUCCUACGGGAGGCAGCAGUGAGGAAUAUUGGUCAAUGGACGAAAGUCUGAACCAGCCAUGCCGCGUGAAGGAUGACGGCCCUACGGGUUGUAAACUUCUCUUGUAUAGGAAGAAACCCCUCUACGUGUAGAGGGCUGACGGUACUAUUCGAAUAAGCACCGGCUAACUCCGUGCCAGCAGCCGCGGUAAUACGGAGGGUGCGAGCGUUAUCCGGAAUUAUUGGGUUUAAAGGGUGCGUAGGCGGAAAUUUAAGUCAGUGGUGAAAGCCUGCAGCUUAACUGUAGAGUUGCCAUUGAUACUGGAUUUCUUGAAUCUAAUAGAAGUAGGCGGAAUAUGACAUGUAGCGGUGAAAUGCUUAGAUAUGUCAUAGAACACCGAUAGCGAAGGCAGCUUACUAUGUUAGUAUCGACGCUAAUGCACGAAAGCGUGGGGAGCGAACAGGAUUAGAUACCCUGGUAGUCCACGCCGUAAACGAUGAUUACUCGCUAUUGGCGAUACACUGUCAGUGGCUAAGCGAAAGUGAUAAGUAAUC
rnacentral:rRNA from 1 species